UUCCACACAUCCCGGUCCGCAAACACCUGGCCGUCCAAGGUGCAGCUACCGCCCGCGCCUGAGGGGGCGACAGAGAGCAGAGGGGCAGAUCUCAGCAGCCGUCCACCCACGGAGAGAAAAUCCACUUUCAAAAACCAGUGAAAAAAAAAAAA